rnacentral:rRNA from 1 species
GAUUUCUGACUUGAAACAUUUUGCCGGCCACGGUUUCGUGUGUUAGUGCUUGAUGUUCUGGUCAUCCUUCCAAUCGCUAUUUGUUUCUCUUCAUUGAUUAGCAAAUGGUAUUGGAUCUUUUACUUUGAAAAAAUUAGAGUGUUUCAAGCAGGCUAUUGCUAUGAAUACAUUAGCAUGGAAUAAUAAUUUAGGACUUCGGUUCUAUUUUGUUGGUUUCUAGGACUGAAGUAAUGAUUGAUAGGGAUAGUUGGGGGUGCUAGUAUUCAGCGGCCAGAGGUGAAAUUCUUGGAUUCGCUGAAGACUAACUUAUGCGAAAGCAUU